AUAGCAUGUCAGAGUGGAUCUAGGCGCUGUCUGUUUUCCGAUCUGCGUUUAGGUACACUUUUUGUCACCAAGCCCUAUUUGGCGCAGUGUCGCAGUUCGGAGCUGUCUCACAGCAUCCCAGAGAACGACAAACCUUGGGCCCUGCUCAUUCCAGAACUCAGCACUGAAAGGCAUUCUUGUGCUCGUCCAUUGGCUGGCAACGCUGAAAUUCGGAAAUAAAGACUGCUUCCCAACAUUUUCUUGGACAACUU
rnacentral:lncRNA from 1 species